rnacentral:rRNA from 1 species
GAUGAACGCUGGCGGCGUGCCUAAUACAUGCAAGUCGAGCGAACAGACGAGGAGCUUGCUCCUCUGACGUUAGCGGCGGACGGGUGAGUAACACGUGGAUAACCUACCUAUAAGACUGGGAUAACUUCGGGAAACCGGAGCUAAUACCGGAUAAUAUAUUGAACCGCAUGGUUCAAUAGUGAAAGACGGUUUUGCUGUCACUUAUAGAUGGAUCCGCGCCGCAUUAGCUAGUUGGUAAGGUAACGGCUUACCAAGGCGACGAUGCGUAGCCGGCCUGAGAGGCUGGUCGGCCACACCUGGAGUGGGACACGGCACAGACUCCUACGCGAUGCAGGAGUGGGGAAUAGAGGACAAUGGGCGGAAGGCUGAUCCAGCUAGGCCGGGAGAGCGAUGUAGUCAGUAGGGUUGUAAAGCGCUAUUACCCGGGAAGAUAAUGACGGUACCGGAAGAAUAAGCCCCGGCUAACUACGUG